AUUGAACGCUGGCGGCAUGCUUUACACAUGCAAGUCGAACGGUAACAGGUUAAGCUGACGAGUGGCGAACGGGGGAGUAAUGCAUCGGAACGUGCCCGAUCGUGGGGGAUAACGCAGCGAAAGCCGCGCGAAUACCUCAUACGACCUGAGGACGAAGGCGGGGGACCGUAAGGCCUCGCGCGAUCGGAGCGGCCGAUGUCAGAUUAGGUAGUUGGUGGGGUAAAGGCCCACCAAGGCGACGAUCUGUAGCUGGUCUGAGAGGACGACCAGCCACACUGGGACUGAGACACGGCCCAGACUCCUACGGGAGGCAGCAGUGGGGAAUUUUGGACAAUGGGCGAAAGCCUGAUCCAGCAAUGCCGCGUGCAGGAAGAAGGCCUUCGGGUUGUAAACUGCUUUUGUACGGAGCGAAAAGGUCCUUUCUAAUACAAGGGGCUCAUGACGGUACCGUAAGAAUAAGCACCGGCUAACUACGUGCCAGCCGCCGCGGUAAGAC
rnacentral:rRNA from 1 species